rnacentral:rRNA from 1 species
UACAGAGGGUGCGAGCGUUGUCCGGAAUCACUGGGCGUAAAGGGCGCGUAGGCGGCUCGGUCAGCGUGCGGUGAAAGCCCGGGGCUCAACCCCGGGUCGGCCGUGCGAACUGCGGAGCUGGAGCACUGUAGAGGCAGGUGGAAUUCCGGGUGUAGCGGUGGAAUGCGUAGAGAUCCGGAGGAACACCAGAGGCGAAGGCGGCCUGCUGGACUGCACCUGACGCUGAGCCGCGAAAGCCAGGGGAGCGAACGGG